rnacentral:misc_RNA from 1 species
GAAACAUGCUAGCCCAGCCUAGGGGCAUGUUUGGCUCAUCUUGGAAUUCCAAGUUUAUUUUAGAAAAACUAAAUGGAAUUUAAAGAUAAUCUUAAAAAUAAACCUAAAAGCAGUGUUUUUAAAGACAUGAGAAGGCGUCGGGCGAAGCUAGCUAAGGCGAGUCAGCUUGCAAAAGGUAAGCGCCUGAGACCCAGAGGCGAGAGGCGAGGAAGAUCCAUAGGCGAGAGGCGUGAGGCGAGGAAGGCAUCGCCUCUAUAAAUAACAUUAAAC